GGUAGCGAUACAUUCCUGUAGCUGUGGCUAUCUAGGAGACUGGGGCUGGUGAAUCUCUUGGGUUAAGUAGUUCUGAACUGUGGUGAGCUGUGCCAAUCGAGUGUCCACACUAAGUUCAGUAUUAAUAUGGUGAGCCAUCAAGAGCAAGGGUCCACCAGAUGCCCUAAGGAGUCCAGAUCAGAAAUAGAACAGGUCAGAGUUCUCCUGCUGAUCAAUAGUGGGAAUGGGUUCGUGAACAGUCCCUGAUACUUCUUGCUUGGCCAAAAUAGAGAUACUCAGUCUUUU
ensembl:misc_RNA Metazoa_SRP Metazoan signal recognition particle RNA